rnacentral:snRNA from 1 species
AUCGCUUCUCGGCCUUUUGGCUAAGAUCAAGUGUAUACUCAAUUUUGAUAUUAGCUGAAAUACAUUGAGAUUUACAAGGCUAUAAAUGAUCUGGUUAUAUUUAAGUGACACAUUUUGGAUCUCUUAUUUCCAUAAAUUGAUCAUCCUUUU